rnacentral:pre_miRNA from 1 species
CGAGGUCACGUGGCCCCCCAGGUCACGUGACCCCCCGAGGUCACGUGAACCCCGGCCACGUGACCUCGGGGGUCACGUGACCUUGGGGGUCACGCGACCU